CCGCCAGACUCCUACGGGAGGCAGCAGUGAGGAAUAUUGGUCAAUGGCCGAGAGGCUGAACCAGCCAAGUCGCGUGAGGGAAGACGGCCCUACGGGUUGUAAACCUCUUUUGUCGGGGAGCAAAGCGAGUCACGUGUGACUCAUUGAGAGUACCCGAAGAAAAAGCAUCGGCUAACUCCGUGCCAGCAGCCGCGGUAAUACGGAGGAUGCGAGCGUUAUCCGGAUUUAUUGGGUUUAAAGGGUGCGUAGGCGGAAUGCCAAGUCAGCGGUAAAAUCGCGGGGCUCAACCUCGCUCCGCCGUUGAAACUGGCGUUCUUGAGUGGGCGAGAAGUAUGCGGAAUGCGUGGUGUAGCGGUGAAAUGCAUAGAUAUUAGGAGGAACACCGGUGGCGAAGGCGGCUUACUGGACCGUAACUGACGUUGAGGCUCGAAAGCGUGGUGAGCAAACGGGAUUAGAUACCCCCGUAA
rnacentral:rRNA from 1 species